rfam:Tetraodon nigroviridis chromosome 13 SCAF14715, whole genome shotgun sequence.
GUCUGUGUAUGGCACUGGUAGAAUUCACUGUCUCGGCAUCCUCUCAGUGAAUUACCACAGGGCCAUAAACAGCC